AAUCUGUUCUGCGUGCUACACACCCAAUCUCGCUCGCACACCAGGCGCCGCACAACCCUAGCUCCCACUUUCCCCUCGAUCCACUGCCCCUCCCUCCUCCCCGCUCGUCACCAGGGCCUCGCUGCCGCCUACUCCUCCUCCACCACCAUUGCUGCUUCCCCACCUCGACUUCCCUCUCUCCGUUGUUUAUCCGGUCAUCGGCGGCGCCUGGUUCCGGAUCUGGCGCAACCAUCAGGAAGGUGCAAGAUGGUUCCACCAAUCCACUCCUCCCGCGGCGCGCACUGGCGCACACGACGUGCGUGAUGGGCGUCCGCACGAAUACCAUUCCCCAAUCCACAGCUGCUGCACCCUCCCUCCUCUUCCCCCAAUCCCUCGCCGACACAGCCACCGCGACCCUCCCCUCCUCCUCCAUCCGUCCUCCUCGGCCAUCGACGGUGCUUGGUUCGAGAUCUCGCGAUGGUUAGGCAAGCCCGGUGGUGGGGUGAAGGAGCAGGCGAGGCGGGCGACGAGGGGAAACAAGGGAAGAGGGAGGAGGCCGGCAAUAGGGUGAAGGAGCAGGCCGCCCAUCUUGGAGGUGGUGCCGCCGGCUAGGUACCAUUCACCGUCCCCGGUUAGGGGCUAUUCGCUGUCGCUGGCCUCACUCGCCACCAAUUUUGCCAUGGAGAUGGUAUGAGAACUUCCGUCGCCAGCCAAUCGAGCCCCAUAUCCAGUGCGCGACCCAAGGAGGAUUUUGCAUCGCAGUCUUCCUGCGCUGGUUCAUUCCCUGGACGAACGACACCAACCAAGGGAGUGAGUCCAGUGACAUCCUGAUCAUUCAGUCAUUGAGGAUUUGAAAAGAGGCAUCAAGGCAGCAAAUGGGGCAGUAUUUUGAUCUCAUUUUGUGUGAUGCAUUUAUAAAUGGGGCAGUAUUUUGAUCUCAUUUCCACUGACGCAUUUAUUAUUUGUCGUCUUCAUUACAUACCACCAAGUUCGGGUUGCUUUUCUUAUAUCACUAUUUUGUAGUCUGCUUCACCGUGAACUUGAAUGAAGACCCAGAUUGUUAUCUAAUUUGUGAAAGUCAUUGAGCUGCUGCUACGCGCACUAGAAGAUUGUGUUGGUAGGAUUUUGUACUAUUUGUUGAGUUCUUCCAUUGUCUAGCUUAUUUGCAUGGUUACUGGUGUAUGUCGGUCAUGCAUCUGAAGCCACUUACUUUCCAGGAUUUUUAGGAUGGCGGCUAAGCUUCUCUUUAAUGUUGCUUUCUCUGAAAUAUUUUUUAGUACAGUUGGUGAUUCUGUUUCUGCCUGAUGACUUGUUAUAUUAUUGUUCCAGUUUCCAGAAUAAGCUAAUGGAAACUGUAUUUGGGUAGACAUGAUUUCAGGUUUGAUUGCAACCAUUUUCUUCUUCUGUUUUCCAUAUUUAGAAAUCUAGCCUCUAUUCCAAUUAUUACGACAAUUCAUCUUUUGAAGUGUAUUUCUUCUACAGGAAAGUUUCAUCUAUACCUUAAGAUAAAAAGUACCUGAUGAUGAACCAUACCAUAGCAAUCUUCAGUUAUAAACAUUGGCUAUGUUAUCUAGAAUUUUUAUAUUUUUCUUUACUGUGAACAUUUGUGAACCUUUGCUGGACUACUUGCCCUGGAUAAAUAGUAGGGCAUGAUAAUUGGUAAAUAUAGGAGCUGCAUAGGAAAAUUGACUGCCACAAAAAGAGUUAUAUUGGCAAUGGUUUCUGCAUUUAGUAUAAAAUAUUUUAGUUGAAAGAUUGCUUCAAAUCUAAAGUCAGAAGUGGCAAGUAUGUUGUCAUCACGGCACCACAUAGGUACAUAUGAUCAGCCAAACAUAGGCACAUAGGAUUACUACUCCGUUUUUUUGCAUAUGCAUCUAGCAGCAACUCUUUUGUGUUCUCGUCUUAAAUUUCCUAUUCAAGUAGUUCAAGGAAAUGGUUUCAAGUGGUGUGAAGGCUCCCAGUCAAUGUUUGGUUUACAAAUUUAAGAAUUAGCAUCGGUAGUUUAGGUGAGCACCAUGUGUACAUACUCAUCUCCCUGUUGUCUAUAUUACAUUGUUUCAAAUUUGAAAGUGCUUUAGGUAAUUCUUGGGUGCCUUGUGGAACGUUUCAAUUUCAGGCAUCAUUCCUAAAUUGUUUGGCGUCCAUGAAUUUCCCGAUGAGGUUGUUCUGCACCACACUGCAUCAUGUAGGAUUUUGUCGCUCGUGAUCUUUCUUGCUUAGGUGACCUGCCCCAAUCCUUCUUCCCCUUCCCAAUCAGGUUUGUCGUGUGUUCUGGUUUAGAUUUAACAUGAUUUUUUGAUUUACUGUGUUUUGUGUGAGUGGCAACAUGAUUGGAUUUUUGGAGAAAUGGGUAUUGUUGCUUCACUGCUAUAUGUGGUUGAUGCUUGGUUCAGAAAGGAACAAGUUCUAGAAUUGGUAAAACUGUCCUCGGUUCGAGUCAAAUUGCUUUAGCCCAUCUUAUUUUUUCAGGAUGCGUGCAUCAUAGGAUGUGUAUAAAGGGCAGCCCCAGUGCAUGUAGCUCCCGCUUGCGCAGGGUCUGGGGAAGGGUCCGACCACUUUGGGUCUAUUGUACGCAGCCUUUCCCUACAUCGUUUCUUCAUAGGAUGUGUAUGGAAGCACAAAAGUACUAUCAACAAUAAAAAGGGUCGUUUCACAUUUGUAUCGAAAGUAUACAUUUAAGAGCUUAGCAAAAGAAUAUUGUUCCAGGAGAAGAAUUAAUGCUCUGUUUUUUGCAUAUGCAUGCAACAACAACUCUUUUGUAUUCUGGUUCAAGAAAAUGUUUACUAUGUCAAGUGAGGAGUAGAAUUGAAGAAACGAUGCAGCUUUCAUAAUGUAAUAUGUAAUACGUACAAUUUUUUGGGGUAGUCUGUGUUGCUAGAAAGCUCCUGUUUAGAUACAGUAAUCUGCACUAAGCUUCAUGAUUCAUAGAAAGAAAAGAACUCCAUGAAGCUUCAGAUUCUUGUUAUGUUGUGAUUUUGUGAGAUUUAUGUAGGUAUUUUUUUAAUACCUAUGAAUUUUAGAACUGAGACCAUCUUGAAAACUAUGCUUCCAGCUGUUGUUGAUUUGUGUUGCCUUAGCAAUCCUGCUGUUUCCCCUCAAAAAUGUUGUACACAGGCUGGUUGUGACCAAUUGGUAAAGAGCCCUAUGUUAUGAAUGUGAAUAUCAAACAAAUUAAAUAUCAUUCUUGUGAUUCUAACGGGUAACAACUCAUUAAUAUUUAGCGCGAUAUGAUAGUGGUGGUAUUAGAUUAUGAUACAUGGUGCGAUUCUUAUUGUUUUCUCUCAGUAAUAUCUUCUUAUUGUUCAAUACUAUGAUCCACAGUGUGAUACUGAAAACCUUGAUUACUGUCGUGUUACAGUUUGUUGCAGUUCUAUUUUUCCUUGAGAUUGUGGUUAUAACAUAUAUUAUAUUUUCAGCUUUUAGAAUAAAGUGUGUAUAUCUUGGUUUGAGUUGCCCGCAAAACCAUUUUUAUGAGCUUGCGUCCCAUUAGAAUAGAGUGUGUAUAUCUUGAUUUGAGGUACCUUCCAAACUAAUAUUUAGAAGCUUGCAUAUUUCUAUUUGGGAAUGAGAUUUCUCUACUGAAUAUGUGAUUCUCACUUCUGAGUGGUAGAUUCUUUGUUCUUUUUGUCAUCUACUUUGACUUGUUGACAUGUAUAUAUCUAAGGAGCAGAAGGUGAAAGCGCAAAUCAAAAUCUCUAUUUUGAAAUGUGACGUUCUCUACUAAAUGUGAUUAUCACUUUUGUGUGGUAAUUUUCUGAGCCUAUGAAUUUCUUUGAUGGAGCAAACUCCUAUGGUUGCUGAUCAAUCACAAUAUUGACCAUGAACUUUUUGCCCAUCUCCGUGGUUAGUACUUCCAGAAUUCGAGUGGCACGUACUGUCACACAGAGCAAGUGUCUUGCUGAUGCUCUCUAUGACACUCAUGGAUUAAUGUUUGUCUCUGUUUUUUGUUAGGUUGUUUUGCGUAUACCCCUUUGCUACUAUGUGGUAUUUCAUUGAAGCUGACGUCGCAAGAGGAAACGGAGGAUAUAUUCGUGAUCAGCACAUCGGUGUCUAAGGCUGCUUCCUGUAGUUUUUGUCACUGCGCCGACAAGUGAGAUAACAAACAUGGAUAUAUCAGUGUAGAUAAUUGUAUCUUUAUUUUCCGAUUAAUUUAAGUAAAAAAUAUCAAGAAUGAUGUUCGGAAAGCUAUGCUGGACCAGCUAGGACUAGCUCAUGAGACUUGGAAUGAAAGAUACCCGGGGCUCCUGGUGUAUGUGGGACAAUCAAGAACAAAAGUCUUUGCGUAUCUGAAGGAUAGAAUUUGGCAACGUAUACAAUGGUGGAAGGAAAAGAUGCUAAGCAAGGCAAGGAAGGAGAUUCUGAUAAUGGCUUGCGCCCAGGCCAUACCCACUUUUGCCAUGUUAGUUUUGACCUUACAAAGGGGCUAUGUGAAAAUGCAUUUUUUUAUAUGUCUCUGCGCCAUUUGGCGCACCGGCAGCUGGUCUUAUCUUUUGACGACCCAAAUAUCAGAUGGAGUCGAUUCAAGCACCACAUGCUGGAAAUACUGCACCAUAGUGACAUAAGGGGCAUCGCAUUCAGGAAACCUAAUGAUUCCAUAUACACCUUCCCAAUGCCUGAUUGCAUGUGCCAACAAGAUGGAAUAUGAUCUAGGCGUUAGCAUACAUAACUGAGGGAUGCAUAUCCUCUGCCUUUGUGCAACAAAGGCACCAAAGGCAUGUCAUUGUUGGCUGCAUGAUCAGGAUUUGAUGGUCAUGAUGUAAACUGGAGUGAAAUAAAGCAUUUGGUGCUUCUCAGGAGAUUCUGAAACCCUCUGGCAUACCCCAAACCGUUCGAUUCUGGAUAUAAUGGUCAAAAGGUGCCUAAUGACAAUGAAUUCCAUAGGAACAGAAAUUGAGAGGAUGCGAGGGAUUUUGUAAAGUUAGUAAUAUAUCGGUAGUCUACCAUAUAGCAAUCUCCAUUUGUUCAAUCUAUCUGUAGGUUGUAAAGUGAAAAGAGCUACGAGAUUGAGUUGUAGAUAUGAGUACAACCUGAGUGCCUCGAUGUAUAUUCGAAAAACAAGGGCUAACAAAAACAAAGAAAGGAAAUUUUCAGUAUAUCAUUACUCAUCA